GACGAACGCUGGCGGCGUGCUUAACACAUGCAAGUCGAACGCUGAAGCUUGGUGCUUGCACUGGGUGGAUGAGUGGCGAACGGGUGAGUAAUAAGUGAGUAACCUGCCCUUGACUCUGGGAUAAGCCUGGGAAACUGGGUCUAAUACUGGAUACGACAUGUCACCGCAUGGUGGUGUGUGGAAAGGGUUUUACUGGUUUUGGAUGGGCUCACGGCCUAUCAGCUUGUUGGUGGGGUAAUGGCUCACCAAGGCGACGACGGGUAGCCGGCCUGAGAGGGUGACCGGCCACACUGGGACUGAGACACGGCCCAGACUCCUACGGGAGGCAGCAGUGGGGAAUAUUGCACAAUGGGCAGAAGCCUGAUGCAGCGACGCCGCGUGAGGGAUGACGGCCUUCGGGUUGUAAACCUCUUUCAGCACGGAAGAAGCGAAAGUGACGGUACGUGCAGAAGAAGCGCCGGCUAACUACGUG
rnacentral:rRNA from 1 species